rnacentral:rRNA from 1 species
UACGUAGGGUGCGAGCGUUGCCCGGAUUUAUUGGGCGUAAAGGGCGCGUAGGCGGCUCUGCACGUCCGUUGUGAAAUCGCCCGGCUCAACUGGGCGGGGUCAGCGGAUACGGCGGAGCUUGAGCAAGCUAGGGGGCAAUGGAAUUCCUGGUGUAGCGGUGAAAUGCGCAGAUAUCAGGAGGAACACCGGUGGCGAAGGCGGGUCUCUGGGACGAC